rnacentral:rRNA from 1 species
AUUGAACGCUGGCGGCAGGCCUAACACAUGCAAGUCGAGCGGAUGAAGGGAGCUUGCUCCUGGAUUCAGCGGCGGACGGGUGAGUAAUGCCUAGGAAUCUGCCUGGUAGUGGGGGAUAACGUCCGGAAACGGGCGCUAAUACCGCAUACGUCCUGAGGGAGAAAGUGGGGGAUCUUCGGACCUCACGCUAUCAGAUGAGCCUAGGUCGGAUUAGCUAGUUGGUGGGGUAAAGGCCUACCAAGGCGACGAUCCGUAACUGGUCUGAGAGGAUGAUCAGUCACACUGGAACUGAGACGCGGUCCAGACUCCUACGGGAGGCAGCAGUGGGGAAUAUUGGACAAUGGGCGAAAGCCUGAUCCAGCCAUGCCGCGUGUGUGAAGAAGGUCUUCGGAUUGUAAAGCACUCUAAGUUGGGAGGAAGGGCAGUAAGUUAAUACCUUGCUGUUUUGACGUUACCAACAGAAUAAGCACCGGCUAACUUCGUG